AACAUUUUUUGUUGGCAUUUAUCCACCUUCUGUUGUUUAUGGAGUAUGACAUCUCCUCAUUGGCACAAUCCCACUUCUUUUUGUCCCAAGCCUCAUCAUCAUCAUCAACAUUUCUGUCUGGCUCUGGAGGUUCAACUGGCUGUGGUUCCCCCAGAACCCAGUCCACCUCAGCAAUGACAAAAGCCAUGUCAACUUUCUUCCUCCACUCAGAGUAAUUAUCACCUCUAAGUAUAGGA
rnacentral:lncRNA from 1 species